rnacentral:rRNA from 1 species
AAAAGCUCGUAGUUGGAUCUCAGUUCCAGACGGGUGGUCCGCCAACCGGUGGUUACUGCCUGGUCUGAACAGUCAGGCCGGUUUCCUUUGAUGAUCUUCACCGGUUGUCUUGGGUGACCGGCAAGUUUACUUUGAAAAAAUUAGAGUGCUCAAAGCGUGCGUGACGCAUGAAUAAUGGUGCAUGGAAUAAUGGAAUAGGACCUCGGUUCUAUUUUGUUGGUUUUCGGAACAUGAGGUAAUGAUUAAGAGGGACAGACGGGGGCAUUCGUAUUGCGACGCUAGAGGUGAAAUUCUUGGACCGUCGCAAGACGAACUACUGCGAAAGCAUUUGCCAAGAAUGUUUCCAUUAAUCAAGAACGAAAGUUAGAGGCCCGAAGGCGAUCAGAUACCGCCCUAGUUCUAACCAUAAACGAUGCCAGCCAGCGAUCCGGCUGUGUUCCUCAAAUGACACGCCGGGCAGCUUCCGGGAAACCAAAGCUUUUGGGUUCCGGGGGAAGUAUGGUUGCAAAAUUCAAACUUAAAGGAAUUGACGGAGAGGCACACAAGCAUUGGAUCCUGCGGCUCAAUUUGACUCAACACGGGUAAGCUUAGCUGGUCAGGACACAAGAAGGAUUGACAGAUUGAGAGCUCUUUCUUGAUUUUGUGGCAAGUGGUGCAUGGCCGUUCUUAGUUCGUGGAGUGAUUUGUCAGGUUGAUUCCGAUAACGAUCGAGACUCUAGCCUACUAAAUAGACGUUCCGAUCAUUUUCGUCGGACGGUCUUCUUAGAGGGAUACGCGGCGUCUAGCCGCACGAGACAGAGCAAUAACAGGUCUGUAAUGCCCUUAGAUGUCCAGUGCCGCACGCGCGAUACAUUGAAGGAAUCAGCGUGUGCUUCCCCUGUCCGACAGGACUGGGUAACCCGUUGAACCUCCUUCGUGCUGGGGAUAGGAGAGUGCAAUUACCUCCUUGAACGAGGAAUUCCCAGUAAGCACGAGUCAUCAACUCGUGUUGAUUACGUCCCUGCCUCUUGUGCACACCGCCCGUCGCUGUUAGCGAUUGAAUGAUUUAGUGAGGUCUUCGGACUGGCGCUCGGUGUGGCCUCCGGGUCGAGCCGAGUGCCGGAAAGAUGAUCGAACUUGGUUAUUUAGAGGUAACAAAAGUCGUAACAAGGUUUCC